rnacentral:snRNA from 1 species
AGCUUUGUGCAGUGACAGUAUCAUAGCCAAUGAGGUUUGUCUGAGGCACGAUUAUUGCUAAUUAAAGAUUUAUUUGUUUUAC